rnacentral:lncRNA from 1 species
CAGAUAAGACGUCUAUAGAAGGCUCUGCCACCUCACACACAGAGACAGACGGACACACGGACAGACUCUUAGCUUGGACUCCUUAUAUUGGCUGAGGCAUAGGGUGGUUCUCCAUAUGCGUACUACCGUGCUCCAAACACGCAAAUUGGAGCAGCGGAGGGUCGGAGUAUGUGAAACGGAGCGCGGAGGCCACUUCACUAAUGCGUACUCCGUUUAGAGUAACAUGCAUCGAUGCUUCAACAGGAAGUAUGAACAGAAAUAUAACGCUACCAUGUCAAAAAAUACGUACACACACACACCAGAUGGACAAACACACACACACCAGAUGGACACACACACCACAUGGCUAGAUGGACUGGACAGUGGAGUGGCAGGGCCGAUCAUAGAGAAUGAUGGCUGUGGUGACAUCAAUCUACUAAUAUAACAAACAACGUGGCUGUGUGUGUAGAGAGGAUAAAGAGAAUAGAGAAUAUAUAGAGUUAGAGAGGAUAGAAAGGAUAUAGAGUUAGAGAGGAUAUAGAGUUAGAGAGGAUAUAGAGGAUAUAGAGGAUAUUGUCACUUCCUGACCAGUAUAAGGAGUUAUUGGUUAUUGUAGUUUGGUCAAGAUGUGGCAGGGGGUAUUUGUUUUAUGUGGUUCGGGGUUUAAUGGGAUAUGUAUUUAUGUAAGAGGGGUGUUUGAUUUAUGUGUUCCGGGGUUUUUGGGUAAUGUUCUUGUUUUGUAUUUCUAUGGUUUUCUAUGUUGUGUAUUUCUUUGUUUGGCCUGUAUGGCUCUCAAUCGGGAACAGCUGUACAUCAUUGUUGCUGAUUGAGAGUCAUACUAAGGUAGCCCUGUUUUCACCUGUCCCUUUGUGGGAAGUUGUUGUUGUACUGCUGUGUGUUAGCCUGCAACACUGUUCGUUCG